rnacentral:ncRNA from 1 species
GCUUAAUUUGACUCAACACGGGGGAACUUACCAGGUCCAGACAUAGUAAGGAUUGAUAGACUAAGAGCUCUUUCUUGAUUCUAUGGGUGGUGGUGCAUGUCCGUUCUUAGUUGGUGGAGCGAUUUGUCUGGUUAAUUUCAUUAACGAACGAGACCUCAGCCUGCUAACUAGCUAUGCAGAGGUAUCCCUUCACGUUCAGCUUCUUAGAGGGACUACGACCUUUUAGGGUGCCGACGGAGUCCUAAAAGCAACAUCUGUCGAUCCCUAGUCGGCA